GAUCAUGGCUCAGGACGAACGCUGGCGGCGUGCUUAACACAUGCAAGUCGAACGGGGCACCCUUGAAUGAGACUUCGGUCAAAGGAAAGGAAUGCUUAGUGGCGGACUGGUGAGUAACGCGUGAGGAACCUGCCUUUCAGAGGGGGACAACAGCUGGAAACGGCUGCUAAUACCGCAUGACGCAUUCGGAUGGCAUCAUCUGAAUGCCAAAGAUUUAUCGCUGAAAGA
rnacentral:rRNA from 1 species